rnacentral:rRNA from 1 species
UGCCUGUAAGACUGGGAUAACUCCGGGAAACCGGGGCUAAUACCGGAUGUUUGUUUGAACCGCAUGGUUCAGACAUAAAAGGUGGCUUCGGCUACCACUUACAGAUGGACCCGCGGCGCAUUAGCUAGUUGGUGAGGUAACGGCUCACCAAGGCGACGAUGCGUAGCCGACCUGAGAGGGUGAUCGGCCACACUGGGACUGAGACACGGCCCAGACUCCUACGGGAGGCAGCAGUAGGGAAUCUUCCGCAAUGGACGAAAGUCUGACGGAGCAACGCCGCGUGAGUGAUGAAGGUUUUCGGAUCGUAAAGCUCUGUUGUUAGGGAAGAACAAGUGCCGUUCAAAUAGGGCGGCACCUUGACGGUACCUAACCAGAAAGCCACGGCUAACUACGUGCCAGCAGCCGCGGUAAUACGUAGGUGGCAAGCGUUGUCCGGAAUUAUUGGGCGUAAAGGGCUCGCAGGCGGUUUCUUAAGUCUGAUGUGAAAGCCCCCGGCUCAACCGGGGAGGGUCAUUGGAAACUGGGGAACUUGAGUGCAGAAGAGGAGAGUGGAAUUCCACGUGUAGCGGUGAAAUGCGUAGAGAUGUGGAGGAACACCGGUGGCGAAGGCGACUCUCUGGUCUGUAACUGACGCUGAGGAGCGAAAGCGUGGGGAGCGAACAGGAUUAGAUACCCUGGUAGUCCACGCCGUAAACGAUGAGUGCUAAGUGUUAGGGGGUUUCCGCCCCUUAGUGCUGCAGCUAACGCAUUAAGCACUCCGCCUGGGGAGUACGGUCGCAAGACUGAAACUCAAAGGAAUUGACGGGGGCCCGCACAAGCGGUGGAGCAUGUGGUUUAAUUCGAAGCAACGCGAAGAACCUUACCAGGUCUUGACAUCCUCUGACAAUCCUAGAGAUAGGACGUCCCCUUCGGGGGCAGAGUGACAGGUGGUGCAUGGUUGUCGUCAGCUCGUGUCGUGAGAUGUUGGGUUAAGUCCCGCAACGAGCGCAACCCUUGAUCUUAGUUGCCAGCAUUCAGUUGGGCACUCUAAGGUGACUGCCGGUGACAAACCGGAGGAAGGUGGGGAUGACGUCAAAUCAUCAUGCCCCUUAUGACCUGGGCUACACACGUGCUACAAUGGACAGAACAAAGGGCAGCGAAACCGCGAGGUUAAGCCAAUCCCACAAAUCUGUUCUCAGUUCGGAUCGCAG